rnacentral:misc_RNA from 1 species
GAAAUGCGAUAAGUAAUGUGAAUUGCAGAAUUCAGUGAAUCAUCGAAUCUUUGAACGCACCUUGCGCUCCUUGGUAUUCCGAGGAGCAUGCCUGUUUGAGUAUCAUGAAAUUCUCAACCUUUUCAACUUUUUUUGGCUGAUCAGGAUUGGAUUGUGGGAGUUGCAGGAUUCACAGAAGUCUGCUCUCCUUAAAUGCAUUAGCAGAAAACAUCUUGUGGACCAGCUUUGGUGUGAUAAUUAUCUACGCUAUAGCUGUUAAGCAGGUCCUGCUUCUAAUCGCCUCUUUACUGAGACAAUUCAUUGACUUUUGAUCUCAAAUCAGGUAGGACUACCCGCUGAACUUAA